rnacentral:rRNA from 1 species
GCGGGGCGGGGGCACGGGGGGACUCUUACGGGAGGCAGCAGUGGGGAAUAUUGGACAAUGGGCGAAAGCCUGAUCCAGCAAUGCCGCGUGUGUGAAGAAGGUCUUCGGAUUGUAAAGCACUUUCGACGGGGACGAUGAUGACGGUACNCGUAGAAGAAGCCCCGGCUAANUUCGUGCCAGCAGCCGCGGUAAUACAUCAC